rnacentral:lncRNA from 1 species
AACACAGUUUUAACAGGCCCCUGUCUUCCUUAAGCCCUGAUUACGCUUUUCCUAUCCUUACACUGGAAUGUGGACUUAGGAAGAGGACCUGAAAGUAGAGGACUGGGAUGCGUGUCCCAGUGCACGUCAGAGACCUGCGUCAGGACAGUUGCCUGUUGUUCACAGAGUGGCUUUAGCAGGGAUGGGGAUGAUACAGCUCUGAGUGGUUUCCUGCCAGACACCGAACUUCAUACAGGAUUAAAAGCAUGUACGGCCACACCCCGAUUUGUAUCUGGAUCUGACCUCAAGUCAAAGUGUGCGACAUUUGAAGUCCAUCAGAAAUUUGUACGUAUGUAACACAUUAUUAUAAGUUGUGACCAUUAUCCUGUAAUAAACAUCUCCGGAGUGAAAUCAGAAUAAAAGCCAAAUUCUCACUAUGGCAUAUGAGACCACAUGUUACUCGUUGGUUUGGCUUGGUUUGGGGCACUGAGAAUUGAAUCCAGGUCCUCAUGGAUGCUAAUCAGGAUCAUCUAGAAGACUGAGGCUUGCUUCUUGACGUGUUCAUGAGGGCAUUUCAAAAGGGCUGAAAAUGUGGCUGGGAUCCUACGAGAAUCCGAUGAAGUCGAACAAGACAGCGAGCUGAAGACCAGCAUCCGGCCUUUCCUGGCCCAGGAUGACAGGAAUUGUUCUGCUGUAGCUCAUUUUCCCUGCCCAGAUGGACAGAUCCUCUGGAAGUGUGGGCUGACACUAAUCUGCCCCCAUUAAGGUGUUGGCCACAAUACACUUAAGGUAUUGUGUGUAUAAAGUAUAUACAGCAACACAAAAGUAACUAAUUCACUUAUGUGCUGGGUUUUUAAUAGUCACUUGGGACUCCAUUGAAACUAAAGAGCAAAAGAAAUAAUACAACUGAAGCCUCACUGGCUAUACAGAGAUAUGGUGAGACAGAUUAGGAGAGGGCCCAGCAAGCAAGACAGCUUAGGGCUAUCUGGGGGAAAGACCCAUUCACGU